rnacentral:lncRNA from 1 species
AUCUGGCUUUGGAUUCACUCAAAACGGAUGCACCAUUUUUUUUUAAUAAAUUUUGCAAAAUUGGUGUUCGGUUAUGCCAGCUGGAGCGCUCAGGAUUUGCACUCUGAUUUUGUAAGAUUUAUCAUUUUUUUUCGGUUGCUUCUUUUGACCUAAUUCUUUUUUUGUCUUUUCUAUAACACUUUAAACUUGCAUUUUCCAGAAAAUCAGAAUUUUUCUAUGGGUGGAAAUAUUUUUCUGGGUUAAAACAGCCAAAACAG